GGUGGAGCGUUGGUAACGGUAAAUGCUCUAGCCGUGCGUAACCCGGACAAUGAACGCCUAAGAGUCGAUAGAGGGCGGGAGUUCGAUUCUCCCCUCCACCU
rnacentral:tRNA from 1 species